rnacentral:rRNA from 1 species
GUGUCAGCAGCCGCGGUAAUACGUAGGGUGCGAGCGUUAAUCGGAAUUACUGGGCGUAAAGCGUGCGCAGGCGGUUUUGUAAGACAGAUGUGAAAUCCCCGGGCUUAACCUGGGAACUGCAUUUGUGACUGCAAGGCUAGAGUACGGCAGAGGGGGGUAGAAUUCCACGUGUAGCAGUGAAAUGCGUAGAUAUGUGGAGGAAUACCGAUGGCGAAGGCAGCCCCCUGGGUCGAUACUGACGCUCAUGCACGAAAGCGUGGGGAGCAAACAGGAUUAGAUACCCUGGUAGUCCACGCCCUAAACGAUGUCAACUAGGUGUUGGGGGAGGAGACUUCCUUAGUACCGUAGCUAACGCGUGAAGUUGACCGCCUGGGGAGUACGGUCGCAAGAUUAAAACUCAAAGGAAUUGACGGGG